rnacentral:rRNA from 1 species
GACGAACGCUGGCGGCGUGCUUAACACAUGCAAGUCGAACGGAAAGGCCCUGCUCUUGUGGGGCGCUCGAGUGGCGAACGGGUGAGUAACACGUGAGUAACCUGUCCUUGUCUUUGGGAUAACUUCAGGAAACUGGGGCUAAUAUCGGAUAGGAGCUCCUGCUGCACGGUGGGGGAUGGAAAGUUUCGGCGGUUGGGGAUGGACUCGCGGCUUAUGAGCUUGUUGGUGGGGUAGUGGCUUACCAAGGCUUUGACGGGUAGCCGGCCUGAGAGGGUGACCGGCCACAUUAGGACUGAGAUACGGCCCAGACUCCUACGGGAGGCAGUGGGGGGGAGUAUUGCGCAAUGGGGGGGAGCCUGAUGCAGCGACGCCGCGUGCGGGAUGACGGCCUUCGGGUUGUAAACCGCUUUCGCAGGUGACGAAGCGUGAUUGACGGUAAUGGGUAAAGAAGCACCGGCUAACUACGUG